GCGGUAGUAGCUCAGCUGGUUAGAGCACUAGUUUGUGGAACUAGGGGUCGAUGGUUCGAACCCAUCCUACCGUACCA
rnacentral:tRNA from 1 species